GGCCCAUUAGCUCAGUUGGUUAGAGUGUGGUGCUAAUAACGCCAAGGUCGCAGGUUCGAGACCUGCAUGGGCCA
rnacentral:tRNA from 1 species